rnacentral:rRNA from 1 species
UACGUAGGGGGCUAGCGUUGUCCGGAAUCAUUGGGCGUAAAGAGCGUGUAGGCGGCCUGAUAAGUCGGCUGUGAAAGUCAAGGGCUCAACCCUUGAAUGCCGGCCGAUACUGUCAGGCUAGAGUCCGGAAGAGGCGAGUGGAAUUCCUGGUGUAGCGGUGAAAUGCGCAGAUAUCAGGAGGAACACCUAUGGCGAAGGCAGCUCGCUGGGACGGUACUGACGCUGGAGGCGCGAAAGCGUGGGGAGCGAACAGG